rnacentral:misc_RNA from 1 species
CAUGCUAUGGAGACAGGUAAAGCACAAGCUUCCUGGGGUUCAGCUUGCUGUACAUAGAAGCCGAAGGUUAAAAAUUCCUGAUUGGUGGCAGAGGCGAAGAUGAUUUUGGACAUUCCUUAAAUGAUCCUGUACAUUCAUGAUAUUUUCAUCUCUCGCAAGCAAUAUUUCUUUUGAGAGAAUAAUCAGAGGCAGUUACAAACACCAUCAUAUCAUCUGGAUUCGUAAUUUGGAUAACAUAUACUCUUCGGCAAUACAUCAACAGAGAUUUUUUUUUGACAGUGAAGACCUUUGGUCUUGUCUGUGGAAGGCUUAGCAAAUUGUUUUUCUUCUUCUUUCAUUAACACUACAGGAGUCACCGAGUAUGUAAUGAGAGUGUAAUGACACACAGCUGUAAUGUAUUCAUUAGAGUUUAGCAAAGAGCUGAUUACAUUGGCUGUAAUUGUUUCUUUUGAAUCUUUUGCCCAUUAAUAGUGUUCAACAACUUUGUAUUUUGGAUAUGGUGCAACUAUUAUAAAAUUGACUUUACACAAGAAUGAG